rnacentral:lncRNA from 1 species
CCCCCUCGCCCCCACCUUCCAAUCUCUUAAUCUUAUUUGAAUAUGUUGUGGUCUCUGGGCUGCUGCAGACACUGGGUGACUGGGAGACCCUUGCGGCUUCGUUUCAAUUUGGCGUGAGUGGGUACAAGCCUUCUACAAUUCGUCUCGCACACGCCAGUUAAAAAGCCAGAGUCAGAAGGAGCAGAGAGUUCCACAACUUCAAAGCACGGUCUAGGAAAGGAAAUAAUCCGGGGGUCCCGAGUAGGAGAGGGGAGGGGGCAGGAAAAAAAAGGGGGGGGGAAUAAAACCCAACUUCGCUGGCAACUCCAAUAAAUCUAGUAACUGUUGGCAAAAAAAAAAAAAAAUUAGAUUCCGAGGGAGGGCUGGGUCUGGUCCGGAUGAAACGCUAGGGCUCCUUCCCAUGCCGGAGACGGGCGCUGGAAGCCUGCCACUGGCGUUCUGCCACGCGAGUGCCCCCAGACAGGAACACACCCACUGGAAACGCACGUGAACAAAGCUCGCUGCCCGGGAGCCGCCGCCUGCGGUUUGCUCGUGGAUCACAGCUUCUCCAGGGAGGAGAGCAGGGCGUGCACAGGGUUAAGUUAGCUCCCUCCCCGGGAGGAGGGACAGGCGGCGGAGGGGGAAGGCAGCUCUCAGUCUCAGGCUGGGUACCUACGAGUUAGUUGUACGUUCGAAACCCUUCGCCGUCGCUUGCGAGGGUGGCAUCUUCCAGUCCUACCGCGGAGGAACCGGGGAGCCGGGAGAGCAUUCCAGCGGCCGCGCGGUCCCUGCCCCGGGGGGAUGGUCUUUGGCCUGCGGUCCCGCGCGUCCAGAAGCCGAGACGCGUCAGCUCCGCGCCCGCCGCCGCGUCCACCCAGCCCGGGGAUCGGGUUGGCAGUUCUCAACGAUGGGCAGGAGGGACCUUGGCGGCGACCCCUAAAAUAAUACCAUGCCCCGGGAGCCCCGCUGCUGUGGAGCCAGCUCCUUCCCUUCCCACCUCCCCGACCCUGUCGGAUUCGGAUGAGCGCAGUGCGAGGAGCUGCGGCCGCCAGAUUGCAGAUUGAGCUUAACCAAGAAGCUCGUGGGCUGAUCCACGCUGACCUGCCUGACCACGGAAGAGGUUCUGUCGGCCUGGCUGGGCCCCUCUUGGCUUCACUUGUUGCCUGGGUGGAAAAUUCUUCCUAUUGAAAUAUUUUUGCACAUGGAGGACAACAGCAAAGAGGCCAACACAGGCUGAGAAGACCAGAGACCUCAAGAAUAUUCUUUGACCUUGGCCUUCAGGACAUUUCCUCUAGUUGGAGUUCUGGACUUGAGAACCCUGUUCAAUUAUUUUGGUUUAGCUAUCUGUUUCUAUUUUUUAUUUUUUUACUUUUCUUUUCCCUACGGUAUUGUGU